AGCGUACACGGUGGAUGCCCUGGCAGUCAGAGGCGAUGAAGGACGUGCUAAUCUGCGAUAAGCGUCGGUAAGGUGAUAUGAACCGUUAUAACCGGCGAUUUCCGAAUGGGGAAACCCAGUGUGAUUCGUCACACUAUCAUUAACUGAAUCCAUAGGUUAAUGAGGCGAACCGGGGGAACUGAAACAUCUAAGUACCCCGAGGAAAAGAAAUCAACCGAGAUUCCCCCAGUAGCGGCGAGCGAACGGGGAGCAGCCCAGAGCCUGAAUCAGUGUGUGUGUUAGUGGAAGCGUCUGGAAAGGCGCGCGAUACAGGGUGACAGCCCCGUACACAAAAAUGCACAUGCUGUGAGCUCGAUGAGUAGGGCGGGACACGUGGUAUCCUGUCUGAAUAUGGGGGGACCAUCCUCCAAGGCUAAAUACUCCUGACUGACCGAUAGUGAACCAGUACCGUGAGGGAAAGGCGAAAAGAACCCCGGCGAGGGGAGUGAAAAAGAACCUGAAACCGUGUACGUACAAGCAGUGGGAGCACAGAGCAAUCUGUGUGACUGCGUACCUUUUGUAUAAUGGGUCAGCGACUUAUAUUCUGUAGCAAGGUUAACCGAAUAGGGGAGCCGAAGGGAAACCGAGUCUUAACUGGGCGUUAAGUUGCAGGGUAUAGACCCGAAACCCGGUGAUCUAGCCAUGGGCAGGUUGAAGGUUGGGUAACACUAACUGGAGGACCGAACCGACUAAUGUUGAAAAAUUAGCGGAUGACUUGUGGCUGGGGGUGAAAGGCCAAUCAAACCGGGAGAUAGCUGGUUCUCCCCGAAAGCUAUUUAGGUAGCGCCUCGUGAAUUCAUCUCCGGGGGUAGAGCACUGUUUCGGCAAGGGGGUCAUCCCGACUUACCAACCCGAUGCAAACUGCGAAUACCGGAGAAUGUUAUCACGGGAGACACACGGCGGGUGCUAACGUCCGUCGUGAAGAGGGAAACAACCCAGACCGCCAGCUAAGGUCCCAAAGUCAUGGUUAAGUGGGAAACGAUGUGGGAAGGCCCAGACAGCCAGGAUGUUGGCUUAGAAGCAGCCAUCAUUUAAAGAAAGCGUAAUAGCUCACUGGUCGAGUCGGCCUGCGCGGAAGAUGUAACGGGGCUAAACCAUGCACCGAAGCUGCGGCAGCGACGCUUAUGCGUUGUUGGGUAGGGGAGCGUUCUGUAAGCCUGCGAAGGUGUGCUGUGAGGCAUGCUGGAGGUAUCAGAAGUGCGAAUGCUGACAUAAGUAACGAUAAAGCGGGUGAAAAGCCCGCUCGCCGGAAGACCAAGGGUUCCUGUCCAACGUUAAUCGGGGCAGGGUGAGUCGACCCCUAAGGCGAGGCCGAAAGGCGUAGUCGAUGGGAAACAGGUUAAUAUUCCUGUACUUGGUGUUACUGCGAAGGGGGGACGGAGAAGGCUAUGUUGGCCGGGCGACGGUUGUCCCGGUUUAAGCGUGUAGGCUGGUUUUCCAGGCAAAUCCGGAAAAUCAAGGCUGAGGCGUGAUGACGAGGCACUACGGUGCUGAAGCAACAAAUGCCCUGCUUCCAGGAAAAGCCUCUAAGCAUCAGGUAACAUCAAAUCGUACCCCAAACCGACACAGGUGGUCAGGUAGAGAAUACCAAGGCGCUUGAGAGAACUCGGGUGAAGGAACUAGGCAAAAUGGUGCCGUAACUUCGGGAGAAGGCACGCUGAUAUGUAGGUGAAGCGACUUGCUCGUGGAGCUGAAAUCAGUCGAAGAUACCAGCUGGCUGCAACUGUUUAUUAAAAACACAGCACUGUGCAAACACGAAAGUGGACGUAUACGGUGUGACGCCUGCCCGGUGCCGGAAGGUUAAUUGAUGGGGUCAGCGCAAGCGAAGCUCUUGAUCGAAGCCCCGGUAAACGGCGGCCGUAACUAUAACGGUCCUAAGGUAGCGAAAUUCCUUGUCGGGUAAGUUCCGACCUGCACGAAUGGCGUAAUGAUGGCCAGGCUGUCUCCACCCGAGACUCAGUGAAAUUGAACUCGCUGUGAAGAUGCAGUGUACCCGCGGCAAGACGGAAAGACCCCGUGAACCUUUACUAUAGCUUGACACUGAACAUUGAGCCUUGAUGUGUAGGAUAGGUGGGAGGCUUUGAAGUGUGGACGCCAGUCUGCAUGGAGCCGACCUUGAAAUACCACCCUUUAAUGUUUGAUGUUCUAACGUGGACCCGUGAUCCGGGUUGCGGACAGUGUCUGGUGGGUAGUUUGACUGGGGCGGUCUCCUCCUAAAGAGUAACGGAGGAGCACGAAGGUUGGCUAAUCCUGGUCGGACAUCAGGAGGUUAGUGCAAUGGCAUAAGCCAGCUUGACUGCGAGCGUGACGGCGCGAGCAGGUGCGAAAGCAGGUCAUAGUGAUCCGGUGGUUCUGAAUGGAAGGGCCAUCGCUCAACGGAUAAAAGGUACUCCGGGGAUAACAGGCUGAUACCGCCCAAGAGUUCAUAUCGACGGCGGUGUUUGGCACCUCGAUGUCGGCUCAUCACAUCCUGGGGCUGAAGUAGGUCCCAAGGGUAUGGCUGUUCGCCAUUUAAAGUGGUACGCGAGCUGGGUUUAGAACGUCGUGAGACAGUUCGGUCCCUAUCUGCCGUGGGCGCUGGAGAACUGAGGGGGGCUGCUCCUAGUACGAGAGGACCGGAGUGGACGCAUCACUGGUGUUCGGGUUGUCAUGCCAAUGGCACUGCCCGGUAGCUAAAUGCGGAAGAGAUAAGUGCUGAAAGCAUCUAAGCACGAAACUUGCCCCGAGAUGAGUUCUCCCUGACUCCUUGA
rnacentral:rRNA from 1 species